GCUGGAUGGAAAAUAAAAUAACUUGAUCUGGUAAUGUUUAAACAUUUCAUUAAAACAUCUGUAUAGAAGCUUAAAUUUCUAUGGAGUGUUAUCUAUCAAUAUUUUCUCUUAUGCUUUUUGACUUUCAUGCUUAGAAAAUCCAUGACCAUUCUAAAUUUGUUUUACAAGUUUUUAAUUUUACUUAAAGUAUUAAAUGUUAUGUCCUUUGAACUUUAUUUUGUAACAGGUAUUAAGGUAGGCAUCCUAACUUAUCUGCCAACUUCCAAAUGAUAGUUAGGAUUACACAUUUUCCCCAAUUUAAACCAAAUUUCCAUAUGCAUUUGUAUAUUUGGACUUUAUAUUCUACUUCAUUAAUCCAUAUAUGUGGAUUUAAAAAUAAUCUUCUAUUUCAAUUAAUACAGCAUCACACUUUUUCCUACUAACUGAGGAGGAAAUUCUCAUUCUCUGUGUAUUUGAAGGUUUCCUGAAGCCUGAGCUAGCCGCAGUAUUGCAUUUGGCCUCUAGAGGGGGAUGUUACACAAAUGGAAUUUGAUGGUCAAAAACAACCAGAUCUUUUUGAAGAAGAGCUUUUUGUUUUACACGCUGGGUAAACUUAUCCACCUCUCUGUCAGAGUGUCCAUGUGGCUGAAUUGUUUCCAGAAAAGACCUCCAGAAAAUAGAUUCCAGUUUCUCCACCGCUCAGACAUGAAGCCCACCCUCAUCUCGGUGCUUGUGAUAAUAUUUACACUCAGAGAAACAAGAGCCCAGAGAGUGACUCAACCCGAGAAGACCCUGUCUGUCUUUGAAGGCGCCCCAGUGCAUCUGAAGUGCAACUACUCGUAUUUUGGGAGUCCUGAGCUCUCCUGGUAUGUCCACUACCCCAAACAACGCCUCCAGUUACUCCUGAGACAAAUCCCUAGAGAGAGCGUCAAAGGUUUCACUGCUGACCUUAACAAAGGCGAGACAUCCUUCCAUCUGGAGAAACCAUUCUCGCAAGAGGAAGACUCAGCCACGUAUUACUGUGUUCUAAGUGGCACAGUAGCUGGUUUUCCAAGGAAGCAGAACACAAACCCUUUAGUUACAGGAGAUAUUUCUUUGUAAACUCUCUGUGUGGCCACAGUGGGGCAUUCUUUCUCCAGAUAUUAACAUUAAUUUUGUCCCCUAGAUAUUAUAUCAUCAGCUGUCAGUUAGCUAUAGGAU